CUGUGCUGUGGGCCCAGGAGGAAGAGCUCUGGGUGUCUCAUGAUGGCCUGGACUUCUCUCCUGCUCCCUCUCCUCACUCUCUGCACAGGUGC
rnacentral:pre_miRNA from 1 species